rnacentral:misc_RNA from 1 species
GAAGCUGUCAAAGGUACUGGACAUUUUCAAUGAACUGUUACAAAAAGAUGGAAACUUAUGUAUCCUUACACCUCUCUGACCUCUAACCUAUCGAGUACUCCGAGUCUCUCUCGCACGGAAAAUCGUCUGUCUAGUUAAACUAUUGAGUACUCUGAGCCAAUACUUGAAACCCAUGAGCCUCAUCUAUUGAGAGGAUUGAUCGCGUUGAGAAAAGCCAGACCAUUCAGUCACGCGGUCAAAAAUCUGGCAUUGCAUUACGAGAAUGAAAUCAUCAUCAAUCACAGGAUCUGAGCAGCAGUAUUCAGCUUUUCUGCAAAGCUGAGUUGAGUCCUAGUGAGGCUUGCCAAAUACAGCAAAAGCAAUUGGUCCUGAAGGCCAUCAUUCACAAGCUUAUCAAAGGCUUGGGAUGAGAGUUUAGGAAUUGUAGCCACAGUAUCAGCAAUGAAUCUUCCUGUUUUGUUAUCCUGGGGUAGACGUCCUUCCACGACAUCAUCAACAUAUUUGUGGACA